rnacentral:rRNA from 1 species
AACGCUAGCUACAGGCUUAACACAUGCAGGUCGAGGGGCAGCAUCAUCAAAGCUUGCUUUGAUGGAUGGCGACCGGCGCACUGGUGAGUAACACGUAUCCAACCUGCCGACAACACUGGGAUAGCCUUUCGAAAGAAAGAUUAAUACCGGAUGGCAUAGUCUUCCCGCAUGGGAUGAUUAUUAAAGAAUUUCGGUUGUCGAUGGGGAUGCGUUCCAUUAGGCAGUUGGCGGGGUAACGGCCCACCAAACCAACGAUGGAUAGGGGUUCUGAGAGGAAGGUCCCCCACAUUGGAACUGAGACACGGUCCAAACUCCUACGGGAGGCAGCAGUGAGGAAUAUUGGUCAAUGGACGAGAGUCUGAACCAGCCAAGUAGCGUGAAGGAUGACUGCCCUAUGGGUUGUAAACUUCUUUUAUACGGGAAUAAAGUGAGCCACGUGUGGCUUUUUGUAUGUACCGUAUGAAUAAGGAUCGGCUAACUCCGUGCCAGCAGCCGCGGUAAUACGGAGGAUCCGAGCGUUAUCCGGAUUUAUUGGGUUUAAAGGGAGCGUAGGCGGGUUGUUAAGUCAGUUGUGAAAGUUUGCGGCUCAACCGUAAAAUUGCAGUUGAUACUGGCGACCUUGAGUGCAACAGAGGUAGGCGGAAUUCGUGGUGUAGCGGUGAAAUGCUUAGAUAUCACGAAGAACUCCGAUUG